rnacentral:rRNA from 1 species
UACGAAGGGGGCUAGCGUUGCUCGGAAUCACUGGGCGUAAAGCGCACGUAGGCGGAUUGUUAAGUCAGGGGUGAAAUCCUGGAGCUCAACUCCAGAACUGCCUUUGAUACUGGCGAUCUUGAGUCCGGGAGAGGUGAGCGGAACUGCGAGUGUAGAGGUGAAAUUCGUAGAUAUUCGCAAGAACACCAGUGGCGAAGGCGGCUCACUGGCCCGAUACUGACGCUGAGGCACGAAAGCGUGGGGAGCAAACAGG